AGCAACGUAGUUUAAUUGGUAAAACGCAAAUUUCAUGAGUUUGAAGUUAUAAGUUCGAAUCUUAUCGUUGUUAC
rnacentral:tRNA from 1 species